rnacentral:rRNA from 1 species
UACGGGGGGGGCAAGCGUUGUUCGGGAUUACUGGGCGUAAAGGGCUCGUAGGCGGCCAACUAAGUCGGAUGUGAAAUCCCCAGGCUUAACCUGGGAACUGCAUCCGAUACUGGAUGGCUUGAAUCCGGGAGAGGGAUGCAGAAUUCCAGGUGUAGCGGUGAAAUGCGUAGAUAUCUGGAGGAAUACCGGUGGCGAAGGCGGCAUCCUGGACCGGCAUUGACGCUGAUGAGCGAAAGCUAGGGGAGCAAACGGG